rnacentral:tRNA from 1 species
GGAGAGGUGGCAGAGUGGUCGAUUGCACCGGUCUUGAAAACCGGAGUGUCCGCAAGGGCACCGUGAGUUCGAAUCUCACCCUCUCCGCCC